rnacentral:lncRNA from 1 species
GGGGUCCCCUUCCACACUGUGGAAGCUUUGUUCUUUUGCUCUUUGCAAUAAAGCUUGCUACUGCUCACUCUUUGGGUCCACACUACCUUUAUGAGCUGUAACACUCACCGUGAAGGUCUGCAGCUUCACUCCUGAAGCCAGCGAUACCAGGAGCCCACCAGGAGGAACGAACAACUCUAGACACACUGCCCCAAGAGCUGUAACACUCACCGCGAAGGUCUGCAGCUUCACUCCUGAGCCAGCAAGACCACAAACCCACCAGAAGGAAGAAACUCCCAACACAUCUGAACAUCAGAAGGAACAGACUCCAGACACGCCGCCUUUAAGAACUGUAACACUCACCUUGAGGGUCUGUAGCUUCAUUCUUGAAGUCAGUGAGACCAAGAACCCACCAAUUCUGGACACAAUCUUAUACCACAGAACUAGGCCUGAAGGUCCUUUCCUGAGGAAAGAACUCAGAUGAAACAAAUACAAGUUUCAAGCUUUAAGAGCGGAAGAGUCAAUGUCUAUGUUUAUACAAAAGAACACGCUGUGGGAGUAUUGGGCCUGCUUCAAGAAGACAGAAUCAGAGAGGCUCAGCAAAUGCCAGAACUCAAAUUCAAGCGCAACUCUGCCUGAUGGAAACUCAGGUGAUUUCCACUCUGCCUCCACCUGCAUUCCUCAGCACCCUGCAGUUGGUCCCCAGACUCUAUGCUCCAUGCUGCUUGUGUUUGUUGGUUGGCUGGUUUCGUGUUCAUGUGUUCUGGCUUCUUCAUUUUGGGUCUUUACAUCUUUACAUCUCUAUAGCAGUUCUUCCCAUGUUGUGUAGCAGUUGUCUCUACGUGACAGUCUGUCUUGUGAGGUCGAGUUCCCUGAAGGCAGCAAGCAUGUAAUUGGUAAAUUCUCAUCAGUUAGCCAUGUCUGGAACAUGGUAGGUAUUCAAUAAAGGUUUUUGCUCAUUUAAUCGACUGUUCAUUAGCAUUUACUGAACCUCUACUGUGUGUCCAACACCGUAGCAGGCACUGAGGAUGGAGCGGUGGAGAAAAACAGGCAACACACUCUGCACUCCAUCUAGUGUGCAGAAAACAUGCAAAUAGUCAUAUACACCAAAACACUUCACACAACACAGACACUGCUGUAACAUGCAAAUAGUCACAUAAAACACUUCACACAGCAGACUGACACACUGCUGUAACAUGCAAAUAGUCAUAUACACAUGAAAACACUUCACACAGCACCCUGACACCCUGCUAUAACAUGCAAAUAGUCAUAUACACAUGAAAACACUUCACACAGCACAGCGACACAUGGCUUUAACACGCAAAUAGUCAUAUACACAUGAAAACACACAGCACACUGACACGCUGCUAUAACAAAUAGUCAUAUACACAAAAACACUUCACACAGCACACUGACACGCUAUUACACGUAGAUAGAUACACGAAAACACUUCACACAGCACACUGACACACUGCUGUAACAUGCAAAUAGUCAUAUACACAUGAAAAUACUUCACACAGCACCCUGACACCCUGCUAUAACAUGCAAAUAGUCAUAUACACAUGAAAACACUUCACACAGCACCCUGACACCCUGCUAUAACAUGCAAAUAGUCAUAUACACAUGAAAACACUUCACACAGCACAGCGACACAUGGCUAUAACACGCAAAUAGUCAUAUACACGUGAAAACACUUCACACAGCACACUGACACGCUGCUAUAACAAAUAUAUACACAAAAACACUUCACACAGCACACUGACACGCUAUUACACGUAGAUAGAUACACGAAAACACUUCACACAGCACACUGACACACUGCUGUAACAUGCAAGUAGUCAUAUACACAAAAACACUUCACACAGCACACCGACACACGGCUAUGUCAGAAAGGCGUGCAGUACUCUGUGAGUGUAGGAUGGUGUCGAGACUCAGGAAAGAGUUGUGCAGAAAAGGGUAUGUGAGUGAGGGGUCAAGGCCGAGCAUCUAGGUGGAAAGUCCCGGCAGAGGGAGCCGUGCAAGCAUCCCCUCAGGCAGCAGGGACGUGGCACGACUGGGGGACCGGUGGCCCGAGGGCAGAGGCAGAGCCGGGAGUGUGCGAGGUGAGCAUGGAGAGGAAGCCACUGCACCCCAGAAAAAGGCACUCCUCCCACGAACAGGAGAGUCCACAGAGAUUUCUGCAAAGGGAGAAGCCAUGAGUGCUCGUUCAGUGCCUACAGUGUUUGGGGCAGCUGUGCAUUUUCUUCACAAAUUCAUUCUUUAAGAAACACUGCUCCAUGCGUUAUACGAGACAGAAAAUCCCGGUUAAUACUAACAGAUCCUUAGCUCGGGAUUGUCCGGAGCAGGCACGCUGUCGGCAGGGGCUGCUCUGGGGUCUGUGGUGUCAGGGGCUCCCCAGAAGCUGCAGCGCAGAAAUGGGGGAGGCUGAGAGCGACUCAGGCCUCUCUGCAAAUGAAGCUGAGGGGAGAUACCUUUCCGAUCAUGCUGGUGAUGAAACUCGCAGACACAAGUGACUAACCAAUUGAUAAGUAUUGCUCACUACUCGCAGAAAAUAUAGAUUUUUUUCUUAAAAAUCAUAGACAAAACACAGUUAAAUAAUUUAAUGGUUAUACCUUUCCUGACAUACUAUGUAACCUUGGCUUAUAUGCCUGGCUUAGAGAUGUUUUCCAAAGUUGUGGUGUAAUAAAAACAUUUAAAUAGUGA